AGCUUUCUGAAUCCAUGCCAAAAUCUCGUUAGUCACCAGACCAUCAAUACUGAUGAGACUACCGAGAUAAGUGAAGUA
rfam:Schistosoma curassoni strain Dakar, Senegal genome assembly, scaffold: SCTD_scaffold0005660